GCAUUUCUCUUCCCAGCUGGCAUUCGCUGCGGCUCGUGUUUAUGGCACUUCCCGAUGGAAGCAGAGCUCUCCAGAGGACUCCUGGCUAAUAACACAAUCUAAUGGAAGUGCCCCUGUGGUGAGUGAUGCUGAGGAUGGAAGCAUGAGCCUUACAGUUUGCACUGAAAAGUCAGACCCUGAACUUCAUUGCAUUUGACCUUUUGUCAUCCAAGAAUUUGCAUAAAGUAUUCCCUUCUCUGGAAUUAGGUGCUUGAGUGAAACAUUUCAUGGGCCUGCUUAACUAUUCAUCUGUGCUACAAUAGCAAUUAAUGUCUGUGCAUCUACACUGAAGCAUUCUGGAUUUCAUUAAACAUGGUGCCUGUCACUGAUUACAAAAUCUGCUGCUGAAACAACUUCUAGAUGUGGUGGAAGACCUAUGGUUGUGGAUCCUUUGCACAUAUAAAUGUUAUUGUGUGUGUCUGUUUGACCAUGGUAGGAUAUUUAAUGUAUCACAGAAACAAGUUUUGUAUCUCCAAUUUCAGUGUCCCUCUCAUCUUAGAUCCUUCCUUUCAAACAUAUUUUCCCAUGUUUCAGCCUUUAAAAAAAGAAGAAAAAAACCCCCAAACUUUGAAAAAUUGUAACACAUUAUGAAAAGUAUACACUAUUGUCAUCCUCUGGGGAAAAGGGGAACUUUACUGUGUCUGCUGUUUUAAGUUCAUUGUGGUGUAUAGCAUGCUAAGUAACUGCUCAGUCAAAUGUCAGUGUGAAUUCAGAAAUCCUCAGUAGAGGAAAUAAAUAAAUA